GAGCUGUAGGAGCUGUAAGAGCUGUAGGAGGUGUAAGAGCUGUAGGAGCUGUAGGAGCUGUAAAAGCUGUAGGAGCUGUAGGAGCUGUAGGAGGUGUAAGAGCUGUAGGAGGUGUAGAAGGUGUAGGAGCUGUAGGAGCUGUAAGAGCUGUAGGAGCUGUAGGAGGUGUAAGAGCUGUAGGAGGUGUAGGAGCUGUAAGA